CCACGCCCGGCUGCCCUUGGCGCUGCGGGGUGCACGCGGUAAAGAUUUCAUGAUAAAGUACUGUAACAGGGUGGUCCCCAGGAAAGAGGGAGGUUCCAGGUUUCCUGCCCCACCCAAAAGGAGGGUGGAGCUGAGCAGGGAGAGAAGAAGCUGCAGAGGAGACUGAGGAAAGAAGGAAGCAGGAUGGAGAGCCAGAAGGAGACCUGGAGGAGGCACAUGGAGCCAAGAGACACAUGAGGGCCCACCCAGCAAAAAUAUCCUAAAAAGACAGAGGUAAAAUUUUGCAUCCCUUAGAGUUUCUGGUGACGAGAAUGCAAUUCAGUGGCUAGGACAUUGAGAAAUCCUGGAAC